AAUGCAGUCUGCUGAGAUCUCGAAGAGCAAACCGUAAUAUGUCAAGUCCUUCUUUGGAGACUUCUGGGCUUAGUCGACCAAGAACUCCUAAUCGAUACGGCUUACUUUGAAAGGGGCCACCAUGGUAUAACAAGAAACUGAAAUAGACAGUGAAAGUGAAACUGAUAGAUGUGGCUUGUUUGUAUUAACCAGAAUUGAAACCAACCCAACCCAACCCGUUACACGUACUUUUGAAGAUAGAACUUAGAAGUAAACAAAGGAGGCAUUUAGUACUUGGACCAGAAAAGGAGAUGGAUAGACGGUGGUGGUGUAACGGGAGGAGCCGGAGAAAGAAGGAGGAGGUUGAACUGUCUUGUAGUGCCGACCUGUAAUAACUAAUCAGAGCAGAUUUGGACCCCAUUUUUACCCGAAUUGAGUAAUGGCCAUGAUCUGAAUCUCCCUAACCAGACCACUCUCUCUCACAUGCACUCUCAGCUCAUGGCUCCACGUACCAACCAAUACAUAUAUCAUCACCAACUCUUCAGUUCCCUUUGCUGUCAAUUACCCGUCAGCACCUCCCCAUCCCCUGCAUUCUGCCUUCAACACUUUUGUCUUUUUUCCUUUCCGCAGAGAAUCUUCCCUACAAAAAAACCUGUAUAAUAAUUCUCACCCCAGGAGUACUCUGCCUAAUUGAUGGAUACAGUCAUUCAACAACCAAUCAACAAUCUAACAUCUACUGAUUCAUAAUUAGCAUAUUCAAAGCAGAAUAUAUAUUUGCAAAAGUGAACAAAUUAAGACCUGUUUCAUCAUUCAACAUAUAUAUGGGUGCACUCUGAUUUUGAAUAAGAAAAGUUACAGGGGGGGGGGGGGGGAGACUGGGAAACAGCAGAAUAAGACAGAAUAAAAAAGUUAAAAGAAGAGAGCAAAAUAACAGAGAAAUAAAGGCAAAGUGCAAACUAGUGCAGGAUGGUUGGGAUGAACUGGAAAUCUGUUUUUAUGGUCUGUUUUUUCACUUAAAAGAAAGAACAGAGACACGUUUGUCGGCAUAACGUAAUCAAUGGAUAAAGUUGGCACCACCACUCUACACUCUACCACCUUCCUCCUCCUGCUCCCCUGCUUCUCCCAAUGCUCGUCCAUACCUUCAAAAAUUUAUACACCCAAGUCAUACUAGCGGAAUCUAGAUGGUAGUAGAUCCUGUGCAAAAUUGUGAGUUUGUGGUGAGUUUUUAAAUCACACUGGGUCAGACAAAAUAUUGGACAAAAUUUCAAUUUUAAUAAUUUUACAUAAAAUUUCAUCGAUUUUGAGUCAAAAAACCCUCGACAGUGGUCCGAGUUAGCCUACCCAAGGUUCCGCCACUGACCUCUAAUGAUUAUAUCUCAAUCCUACAAACAAAAUAUUUGAAUGUUAGAGAUUCAAUUCGAAAUCGAUAUUUUUAAAAAUUAUUUUUUAUGAAAAUCAUAUAUUAGGUGAUAUUAUAUUGAAAAUCAUCCAUUCAAAGUAAAAUUUGAUAAAAUGAAAAAUAUAACAAUUCAUAACACUAAUCCACAAAAUGGAUUGAAAUUUAAAGAGGUCAAUUGUUAAGUUCAAUAUAAUUCGAGUUAUCUCUGGGGAAUCUGUUAGCUUACCCUGUAAUGAUGUUCCCAAAGCUGAUGGUUGUACAAAGUUGAUUCAUACACGGGCAGAAGAUUGACGAGAUCUUUUCCCAAGAUGAACAAAUCAAAUCGGCUGGGUGAUCGUUCUGGUUCCCCAACGACCAUAGCAUUCAGAGACACUACACCUUUGUUCAUAAUGAUGAGGUAAUUAGCUAGCCUAGCCUAGCCCACUUGAAUGAUUUCAUCAGUUUGUUUGGCUGGCACUUGGCUGGUCUGGUUUGG
rnacentral:lncRNA from 1 species